GACGAACGCUGGCGGUGUGCUUAACACAUGCAAGUCGAACGGUAAGGCCCUUUCGGGGGUACACGAGUGGCGAACGGGUGAGUAACACGUGAGUAACCUGCCCUCAUCUCUGGGAUAACAGUCGGAAACGGUUGCUAAUACUGGAUAUGAGCUUGCAAGGCAUCUUGUGGGUUGGAAAGAUUUUUUUGGUUGGGGAUGGACUCGCGGCCUAUCAGCUUGUUGGUGAGGUAGUGGCUCACCAAGGCUUCGACGGGUAGCCGGCCUGAGAGGGCGAGCGGCCACAUUGGGACUGAGAUACGGCCCAAACUCCUACGGGAGGCAGCAGUGGGGAAUAUUGCACAAUGGACGGAAGUCUGAUGCAGCAACGCCGCGUGCGGGAUGACGGCCUUCGGGUUGUAAACCGCUUUCAAUUGUGACGAAGCUUUUUUGUGACGGUAGCAGUAGAAGAAGCACCGGCUAACUACGUG
rnacentral:rRNA from 1 species